rnacentral:pre_miRNA from 17 species
AGCAGUUGCCAGUGUCAUUUUUGUGACGUUGCAGCUAGUAAUAUGAGCCCAGUUGCAUAGUCACAAAAGUGAUUAUUGGAAACUGUA